rnacentral:miRNA from 1 species
UAGAUUUUUUCUUUACUUUU